GCUUCUCUGGGCCCGCCCCUCGCCCAGGUGAGGCUCGCGCUGUCGCGGCCGGAAGGGACGACGCGCCCCCGCGGUGCUCGCGAGGUGUAGGGUGCCCCGGCAGUCGGGCCAGGCCUGCUUGGGGUCUGGCCAGUCCCGGCGGUGCGGGACUUUGGCGGGAGCGGGGUGGCGUGGAGGGAGAGGGUGCCGCGCCCUGCCCGGCCCAGGUGUCGUCUCCGGGGGCGGAGUUUGGGAACCGGGCCGUGGGAGAUUCCCGGCCCGACUAGCUGGCGGCCGUCGAGGGACAGAAGCUGAGACAAGGCAGAGCCGGGCGGCGCGGGGAGUGCAGAGGGCAGGCAAAGGCGCAGGACCGCCAGCAUGUUCUCCCGAAACCACCGGAGCCGGGUCACCGUGGCCAGGGGCUCCGCCCUGGAGAUGGAAUUCAAACGCGGCCGCUUCCGACUCAGCCUCUUCAGCGACCCGCCCGAGGGCCCUGGAACAGCAGUAGGCAAGGAAAGUUUGUCACAGCAACCAGAGGGGUCUAACGGAGCGCAAGAGGGACGGGGGCUGCCUCUGCCCUCUGUCUAAGAACUGCCCACCUCUUUCAAGACCAGGGCAGCAGCGGGAGGAGGAACUGUGGGGCAACGUGGUGCUUGCUCGCCCCACCCCUCUGAGGGGUCAACAAGGGAAGGGGCACCUUGGGGGCACAGAGAUGCAGGACAGAUUGCACAUCCUGGAGGACCUGAAUAUGCUCUACAUCCGGCAGAUGGCGCUCAGCCUGGAGGACACAGAGUUGCAAAGAAAGCUAGACCAUGAGAUCCGGAUGAGGGAAGGGGCCUGCAAGCUGUUGGCAGCCUGCUCGCAGCGAGAGCAGGCUCUGGAGGCCACCAAGAGCCUGCUGGUGUGCAACAGCCGCAUCCUCAGCUACAUGGGUGAGCUGCAGCGGCGCAAGGAGGCACAGGUGCUGAGGAAGACAGGCCGGCGGCCUUCUGACAGUGGGCCACCAGCUGAGCGCUCCCCCUGCCGCGGCCAGGUCUGCAUUUCUGACCUCCGGAUUCCACUCAUGUGGAAGGACACAGAAUAUUUCAAGAACAAAGGCGACCUGCACCGCUGGGCUGUGUUCUUGCUGCUGCAGAUAGGGGAACACAUUCAGGACACAGAGAUGAUCCUGGUGGACAGGACCCUCACAGACAUCUCCUUUCAGAACAAUGUGCUCUUUUCCGAGGCAGGGCCAGACUUCGAACUGCGGCUGGAGCUGUAUGGGGCCUGCGUGGAAGAGGAGGGGGCCCUGGCUGGAGCCCCCAAAAGGCUUGCUACCAAACUCAGCAGCUCCCUGGGCCGCUCCUCGGGGAGGCGUGUCCGGGCAUCGCUGGAGACAGCUGGGGGCUCAGGGAGCAGUCCCAUCUUGCUCCCCACCCCGGCGGUGGGGGGUCCUCGUUACCACCUCUUGGCUCACACCACACUCACCCUGGCAGCAGUGCAAGAUGGAUUCCGCACACAUGACCUCACCCUCACCAGUCAUGAGGAGAACCCUGCCUGGCUGCCCCUUUAUGGUAGCGUGUGUUGCCGCCUGGUGGCUCAGCCUCUCUGCAUGACUCAGCCUACUGCAAGUGGUACCCUCAGGGUGCAGCGAGCUGGGGAGCUGCAGGACUGGGUGCGAGUGCAUGGAGUCCUGAAAGGCACAAACCUCUUCUGUUACCGGCAACCUGGAGACACAGACACUGGGGAGGAGCCGCUGUUUGCCAUUGCGGUCGACAAGGAGACGCGAGUCCGUGCAGGGGAGCUGGACCAGGCAGUGAGCCGGCCCUUCACCCUGAGCAUCAGUAACCAGUAUGGGGAGGAUGAGGUGACACACACCCUUCAGGCAGAAAGUCGGGGAGCCCUGCAGAGCUGGAUGGAGGCUCUGUGGCAGCUUUUCUUUGACAUGAGCCAGUGGAAGCAAUGCUGUGAUGAAAUAAUGAAAAUUGAAACCCCUGCUCCUCGGAAACCACCCCAAGUACUGGCCAAGCAGGGGUCCUUGUACCAUGAGAUGGCUAUUGAGCCGCUGGAUGACAUCGCAGCAGUAACAGACAUCCUGGCGCAGCGGGAGGGCACAAGGCUGGAGACGCCCCCACCCUGGCUAGCAAUGUUUACAGACCAACCUGCCCUGCCUGGCCCCUGCUCGCCUGCUUCAGUGGCCCCAACCCCAGCCCAGAACCAUUCCCUGCCCUGGGGGAGACCCCGAACGUUCUCCCUGGAUGCUGUCCCCCCAGACCACUCCCCUGGGGCUGCUCGCUCGGUUGUCCCUCUCCCCCCGCAGCGGUCCCCACAGUCCAGAGGCUUCUGCAGCAAAGGCCCACCCCAUACUUGGCUCCAGUCACCAGUGUGAGAGAGUGUGCUGGCAACAGGAUGUGGCCAGAAGAGGAGAUGAUCUGUAUGCACUUGGGCUCUGGAUUCGGCACUGUUUGUAGCAGGGCUGGCUGGGACCCCUAAAUCCUUCCUGGGAGAAAACUGGAACCAACCCCGCCCCACCUCCCUGCACUAACCAGCUCUGAGGAUGGCACGGAAGAGCCCUGGAAGGGCACGCACCUCCCUUGUGACUCCCACGUUGAUCAUUAAAGUUAUUUAACGUCAACCUUCA